AAGAGGAUGAGAACCUCCGAAGGAGGUUUGAGCCGAGCGCAGCGAGACAACGUUGCUUUAGCAACGGCCCGUAGGGGAAUAAUCCUCUC
rnacentral:sRNA from 1 species